AUGGUUCGUCGGCGAUUGUUCAUCGGCGGACUUGAAGAUGUCGGAGGUGAUCGUUCCGGCACGGUUGUGCUUAUGAUAGUAAGACAUGAAGUGAUGCUAUGGGAUGAAUGUUAUAACACAAAGGUGUUAUUGGUAACGGUCGUUAUAUGCAGUGCGAAGAAUUGGAUUCAUGAAACAUUUGGUGAACUCAGUUUUGGUUGUCAGCAUGAUAAAAUUAUUUGA